rnacentral:rRNA from 1 species
UCCAGACUCCUACGGGAGGCAGCAGUGGGGAAUAUUGCACAAUGGGGGGAACCCUGAUGCAGCGACGCCGCGUGGGCGAGGAAGUAUUUCGGUAUGUAAAGCCCUAUCGGCAGGGAAGAAGAAAUGACGGUACCUGAAUAAGAAGCAUCGGCUAACUCCGUGCCAGCAGCCGCGGUAAUACGGAGGAUGCGAGCGUUAUCCGGAUUUAUUGGGUUUAAAGGGUGCGCAGGCGGCCUGUUAAGUCAGCGGUAAACGCCGGGGGCCCACCCCGGGCGAGCCGUUGAAACUGGCGGGCUGGAGUUGGAGAGAAGUACGCGGAAUGCGCGGUGUAGCGGUGAAAUGCUUAGAUAUCGCGCAGAACCCCGAUUGCGAAGGCAGCGUACCGGCUCCACACUGACGCUGAGGCACGAAAGCGUGGGUAUCGAACAGGAUUAGAUACCCUAGUA